GCGACAGGCCUAACACAUGCAAGUCAGGGGCAGCACAAGGAGCAAUCUGAGGUGGCGACCGGCGCACGGGUGAGUAACACGUAUGCAACCUGCCUGUAAGCGGGGAAUAACCCGUUGAAAGACGGACUAAUACCGCAUAAUACUAAAUUACUGCAUGGUAAUUUAUUUAAACAUUUAUGGCUUACAGAUGGGCAUGCGCAUGAUUAGCUAGUUGGAGAGGUAACGGCUCCCCAAGGCAACGAUCAUUAGGGGUUCUGAGAGGAAGGUCCCCCCACACUGGUACUGAGACACGGACCAGACUCCUACGGGAGGCAGCAGUGAGGAAUAUUGGUCAAUGGACGAGAGUCUGAACCAGCCAAGUCGCGUGCAGGAAGAAUUGUCCUAUGGAUUGUAAACUGCUUUUGCAGGGGAAUAAAGUGCAUCACGUGUGAUGUUUUGUAUGUACUCUGCGAAUAAGGAUCGGCUAACUCCGUGCCAGCCGCGGC
rnacentral:rRNA from 1 species